AGGAGCAAAGGGAGCAGCUCAGGGGCCCCUCAUGUCUAGAGAGACUAAAACCACAGGUCUCAGCCCCUGAGCCCCUAAUGUCAGGUGCAAGUCAGCCAAGGAAUGAGGUUUUGAGAAAGGCAGGAGAGAAACUCUGGGGCAAUGCCAGGUGCUGACGGGGCUGUGCUCAUCCUUCCUCUUCCCAAACCAGUCCCAUCUGGAUUCUGCAGCCUCUUGAGGUAUUCUGACACAAGGACCCAGUGCUGAAUGAUUUAGUGCCUCUCAGCUGCAGCCAGAUAAUGCUACUCCCAGGUACUUAAACUUCCCUAAUCAGCCUCUUGAGUUGUUUUGUUUCCUGAGUGGCUUUGAGUCCACAGAACACUGUGGAAGAGAGAAACCUUCUGCUGCUCCUCUCCACCAUCAGCAGCUUUCUGCUUCCAGCAAUGACAUGGCACUGCCACACAAUGUGUCAGA